UGGCAUAAUGGUGUUUUGCUCAAUAA
rnacentral:piRNA from 1 species